CAUUUACCUUUUGAUGACUGGAGUUGAGAAUGUAGAAGCACGAAGAGUCAUUAGAAAAGAUUCCUUUGUUCUUUUAGCAUCUUGUGACAAAUAAAGCUUUGUUUUAAAUUAUUUUAGAGAGUUCAAUUCCGUCAUCCAUCUGCAUACAGGAAGAUCAACGACACCAACCUCACGUGCUUCGAGCAGCUCAGUGUAUCAUGCAUCAUUGUAGUGGAGAACCCCCAUCUUCAAAGAGGCUCAAUGGGACUAGGGAUACAUGAACUUGCUUCAAAGAACUGGCUGCUUACAUACAGAGAAUAUGCCCGAGAGAUGUGAAGCACAUGGAAGAGACAGUAAAAAGCUGCAGGUUUGAAUAUGAGAAUGUCAUAUGAGACAUGAGAAUCCUGAUAGCAGCACAGAGCUAGAUGGAAGCAGAAUAUAGGGCCUUGCUCCAGCAAGAAAAAGAUAUUAAAGCUAACAGGGAACCAAAGUCAGAUGGAAGCGGCUUCAGAAGGGCAGCAUCCUAAAUAAGCCUCCUAAAUCCAGCCUGAUUUCCAACCUGUUUGAGCCACGGCAUUUUAGCUUCCGUAAACACAGAAGAAAGAGUAUGAAGGACUGUGUCUGGAUGAGAGAAGAGGCUCCUUGGAGAACAGCCGGAGCAAGAAAUCCUGCUAGAGGGUUUGAUCAUAGGUUAAGUGACAAGCAUGCCGUUGCAAAUUGAAAGAUGAAGUGUGCUAUUUUAAGAAGUUCUUUUCCUUAUUUCUUUUCUUUUCUGCUGCUACUGUUCAAACAAAGUAAUUUGUCUUUUUUGUUUUUUUUUGAGAUGAUAUUUCUGAACACUGCACUUUACUGACCCAAUGAGAGAAUGUGCAGCUGCCUGAAUCUGUGGGGAAAGGUCAGUGAUCCGUGGGGUUGUGCACUGAAAGGUUCAGGGGAAGUGGGGAAAAACUGGAUGAUGCCACCUCACAGCUGAUGGACGCACACAGCCUGAGCCCUGAAGGAAUGUGGUAUUAAACAGCGGUAUUAAACAGGUGACCAUUCAGGUGUGCAGCUGAUCUUACAAGUGUAACACUUGCCUGCUGUGUUCUCUCAGUCACCAAAUAAACUGCACAGUUUUUGUCCAAUACUCUUAACAUAAAUCAGGAAACAGAGCAAAAAAAAAA